AGUGAACGCUGGCGGUAGGCCUAACACAUGCAAGUCGAACGGCAGCACAGUAAGAGCUUGCUCUUACGGGUGGCGAGUGGCGGACGGGUGAGGAAUACAUCGGAAUCUACUUUUUCGUGGGGGAUAACGUAGGGAAACUUACGCUAAUACCGCAUACGACCUACGGGUGAAAGCAGGGGAUCUUCGGACCUUGCGCGAUUGAAUGAGCCGAUGUCGGAUUAGCUAGUUGGCGGGGUAAAGGCCCACCAAGGCGACGAUCCGUAGCCGGUCUGAGAGGAUGAUCAGCCACACUGGAACUGAGACACGGUCCAGACUCCUACGGGAGGCAGCAGUGGGGAAUAUUGGACAAUGGGCGCAAGCCUGCUCCAGCCAUACCGCGUGGGUGAAGAAGGCCUUCGGGUUGUAAAGCCCUUUUGUUGGGAAAGAAAAGCAGCAGGUUAAUACCCCGCUGUUCUGACGGUACCCAAAGAAUAAGCACCGGCUAACUUCGUG
rnacentral:rRNA from 1 species